ensembl:lncRNA
CCCGCGCGGGACCGGAACGCCUCUGCGAGCGGGAGCGCGGUGUGGGAGCGGAGCCGCAGCCCGAGGCCUGGUCACCGCUCCGCCAGCAGGAGGAGCACCCACUUCCCACAGCCUUCGCCUUCCUCCAGCCUUUAUUUAUCAGCAAAGCCCGGAGUUGGGCUUUCCUCUUUCAAUAAAGUGCUUCAGAGCGCUGCUAGCCGCUUCCAGCCACGUGCCCCUCAGCCCCGGCUGGUGACAGCUAGGAGAGGGUCUUGGAAUACUUUCUGACUGUAUUUAAUCUCUAAGGAAUAGGAAACAACACCAAAACCUGCACCUGGUGUUACGUGUUUACGUUUAACGGGCUUCCAGCGUGCUUCUAGUAGCAGGCAAAAGGAGGUAGGUGUUUCUCACCCUGCUGUUUUCUAUCUGGCUGAGCCACCGGCUGCUUGGAGCAGCCCCAGCAGAGGGUUCUGUCCAGCUGUCCUCGGGGGAUGUGAGAGGAUGCAGACGGGCAUCCUUCUGGGUGACACCCGCUGCAGGUCACAGAGCAGCCAGGAGCCUGACCUGUUUUCAGAGCAGAUCUGCAGCGCCCACAAGAGUGUCAUCGGUUGGCUGCCCCCAGUAAUGAUGCUGCUUCCUCUGUCCUCGUGUGCACAAGGAAAAAAACAAAAUUGAUGCAAAUGUGAUGCCAGCACUGAUAUUGCAUGCAGAGGUCUUGCUUCCUAGAAGCAUCGUCUUGACUGAAACAUGUCAUUUUGAUAGCAGGAAACAAAGUCACAGGCCUGGUAUCACAAGAACAGUUGGGCGAGGUGACGGAGAAGAGGACUGCUAUCUUUUCAGGAGGAACUGAAGUGCUAUUUGUGAUGUGGGGAAGCAGCUCCUGGUGUGCGCAGGGGGGGCUGCUUCCUCAGUGGUCUUCAGGAAAAACAAAGAGACAAAAUCUGAGUUAGCCCAGAUAAAAGUACGCCGUCAGGACGUAAGGAUGCUCUGAAAAUAAACGAGGAUAAGCCUGGAAAAACAGCUCUGACAGGGACAAUGGAGUGAGAGGCCACCUGUGUCUCUCAGCAACAGGAUCCGAUACCAGCCCACAGGAAGGGUGGGAAGGGCCUCCCAGAUCGUGGUAUCCCUGCAGAGCUCUUCCUCCAAAGCCGAGGGGCAGCCCCAGGGCCAAAAGGCACCCCAGGAUUGCUUCUGAUGCUUUGGGCAGCUCCUGAACCCAGCCUGGUGCUGAGUCCUACCUGCCCGUAUCCACGCUUCCUCCCUGCCCCCAGGGACUUUCCUCCCCACGCUUUGCACCCUGUGUUUGGCUUUGCCAGCCAACGCCACCAAUCUUCCCUUCUCAGGGAUGACUUUCGUGCUCAAGACAGCGUUGAACUGACACGCGGUGAAGGUUUGCUAGGGCUCAGAGCACCUGAAGAAAGGGCUUUGCUCCAGCUUGUCACCGAUGGGAAAGAAAGAUGGCCACCGAGCCCGCAGCUUCGCGACGCGCAGAUGUAGCAACGGGCGAAUGCGGUGAUUUAGCGCGGCGCUGAGGAUCUGGCCCAGACGCAGGCGGCGGAGGGAACAAAGCCCGGCAGGAAGGUGGCGGAGUUGUUCCGAGUAACCGCAGCGCUGCCGGCUCUCCGCGGCACGGUAACGGGAGGGCAGGUCCAGCCCGGCUGCUGGGCGGAACGGCCGCCCCCUGCUCGCCGCGGGGGUGACGCGCAGCACAAGGCCGGUAGCUCAGCC